GAAGGAAAGCCCUCUAAUCGGACGGGCAAGACUGACAAGUAGGCCAGCCCGUGGCUACGCGUAGCCUAUGUCAAACAGGUGCUUUCUCUUCGACCUCCACAAAUUAAGCUACAGUUAAUUCCGUAGUCGUUUGAAUAAGUUUGCGAUUGACAACGCGACUGACAACAUUGUGAUAAAUAGGCAUUCUAACUUUUGCAAAGUCAACUUGAAUGCAUCAAUUUUGAACAAAGUUGUGUAGGCUACACCGCGCCAGUUGUAGUCUGCAUGAAGUUCUUGCACAAGCCACCGUUUUGAUUUCCUUAGGGGAGAUGCGGGCUGAACCCGCUUGAGGGAGAGAGGUGCAGGGAGAGAAUAGGUGCUCUACGCACAUCUCUAUGAAAUAAUGUAGCCUAGACUAAUACAUAUUUUAAUAUUUAAAUAAGCAAUCAUGGAAACAAUAAGUCAAUAGGCUAGACAGAUAUUGUGAGUAGGCCUAAUGCAGGAAUGGACGUUACAGUUAUUCAGUAACUAUAACGAAUUACUGAAAUUUAAAUUGUAAUGUGUUACCUUUAGACUACUUCGUUUCCCAAUAAAGUAACGAAAUUACAGUAACACGUUACCCCCAACACUGGCCUAUUGAACUUUGGUGGAUGAUGGACAGAUGUCAGUGCCCUAGUCUAAUUUACCCUCGGAAAUAAUUCUAGAUUGUCUUUAUACAAUAUAUUUAACUGGUCUAGACAUGGUGUGGUCUAUUGGGUUUCACGUAAUUUCAAAAAUACAGCUUUACAGAAUAAAUAUUGUUAACAUGUUAGGAUCAGCGCCAUAGGAUUCCCACGGUAGCCAGCGUCUGUGACGACACCUGAGCUUACCAAAAUGGCGCCCAUAGAGUCAUAGAACGUACUUCAACAUAUCCAACGUAUUCUCCUGCCAGUAAUCUAUCUUGCUCUGUUCUAGAAUCUUUGUUAGCUAGCUUUCAACAUAAUC